rnacentral:rRNA from 1 species
GACGAACGCUGGCGGCGUGCUUAACACAUGCAAGUCGAACGGAAAGGCCCUGCUUGCAGUGUACUCGAGUGGCGAACGGGUGAGUAACACGUGGGUGAUCUGCCCUGCACUUCGGGAUAAGCCUGGGAAACUGGGUCUAAUACCGGAUAGGAGCCAUUUUUAGUGUGAUGGUUGGAAAGUUUUUUCGGUGUAGGAUGAGCUCGCGGCCUAUCAGCUUGUUGGUGGGGUAAUGGCCUACCAAGGCGGCGACGGGUAGCCGGCCUGAGAGGGUGGACGGCCACAUUGGGACUGAGAUACGGCCCAGACUCCUACGGGAGGCAGCAGUGGGGAAUAUUGCACAAUGGGCGCAAGCCUGAUGCAGCGACGCCGCGUGGGGGAUGACGGCCUUCGGGUUGUAAACUCCUUUCGCUAGGGACGAAGCUUUUUGUGACGGUACCUAGAUAAGAAGCACCGGCUAACUACGUG